AUUGAACGCUGGCGGCAUGCUUUACACAUGCAAGUCGAAUGGUAACAGGUUAAGCUGACGAGUGGCGAACGGGUGAGUAAUGCAUCGGAACGUGCCCAGUCGUGGGGGAUAACGCAGCGAAAGCUGCGCUAAUACCGCAUACGAUCUGAGGAUGAAAGCGGGGGACCGUAAGGCCUCGCGCGAUCGGAGCGGCCGAUGUCAGAUUAGGUAGUUGGUGGGGUAAAGGCUCACCAAGCCAACGAUCUGUAGCUGGUCUGAGAGGACGACCAGCCACACUGGGACUGAGACACGGCCCAGACUCCUACGGGAGGCAGCAGUGGGGAAUUUUGGACAAUGGGCGAAAGCCUGAUCCAGCAAUGCCGCGUGCAGGAAGAAGGCCUUCGGGUUGUAAACUGCUUUUGUACGGAGCGAAAAGGUCUCCUCUAAUACAGGGGGCUCAUGACGGUACCGUAAGAAUAAGCACCGGCUAACUACGUGCCAGCCGCCGCAGUAA
rnacentral:rRNA from 1 species